rnacentral:lncRNA from 1 species
GUGUCUGCACUCCCUUUGGUUUUCCCUGGCUCAGGAAUUCCCAGCAUCUUCUUGUUGAGCAUCGGGACCAAGAGAGCAAAGAAUAACACAAGAAGAAUUAAGAGACAAGUGACAAAAGCCUGGAAAGGAUAGGAGGACCUGGGGAAAAGGACAGGUGAAAGUCACGAGCCACACAUCCCUUGAGGGAGGAACCUUUCUUCAUAAUGUGCAUGUAGCACCAAGAACAGCAGAGUUUAAACUGACUUAAGUGCUUAUUCAUUAGGGCGCAAAAUAAUGCAAAUAGGAAAUUAAUAGUAUUAAGACUCUACUUGAAUGCUUGAAUGUAGAACAGUUUUACUUUUCAAAUAGC